CCUACGGGAGGCAGCAGUGGGGGAUAUUGGGCAAUGGGCGCAAGCCUGACCCAGCAACGCCGCGUGAAGGAAGAAGGCUUUCGGGUUGUAAACUUCUUUUCUCAGGGACGAAGCAAGUGACGGUACCUGAGGAAUAAGCCCCGGCUAACUACGUGCCAGCAGCCGCGGUAAUACGUAGGUGGCAAGCGUUAUCCGGAUUUACUGGGUGUAAAGGGAGUGUAGGCGGGACUGCAAGUCAGAUGUGAAAACCACGGGCUCAACCUGUGGCCUGCAUUUGAAACUGUGUAACUUGAGUACUGGAGAGGCAGACGGAAUUCCUAGUGUAGCGGUGAAAUGCGUAGAUAUUAGGAGGAACACCAGUGGCGAAGGCGGUCUGCUGGACAGCAACUGACGCUGAGGCGCGAAAGCGUGGGGAGCAAACAGGAUUAGAUACCCCAGUAGUC
rnacentral:rRNA from 1 species